GAUCCGGCUGGAUCCCUGUCACGCCCAAUAUGCGACCCUAUCCAAAAGGAACUCGAAGGUCCCACCAAGGAUAGACCCGCAUAUUGAAACGCUUUUGCAAGGUGGAUAUCAUUACAUCAACAUUACAUAAUAGAUGGAGAUACAUACAUAAGGCAUACAAUGCCACAUGAAUACAACAUCACAAUACAUCAGAGCAUCAUCCGACUACGGAUGAAACACAAACAGAAACUCAGACGACAUCCACCCUGCUAGCCCAGGCUGCCGACCUGGAACCUAUCCCCUGAUCGAAGAAGAAGCAGAAGAAGAACUCCAAGACAAGCAAACAUCGCUCUCGCGUCAUGAUCAUUGCAUAACCUGUUCCUGCAACUGUUGUUGUAGUAAACUGUGAGCCACGAGGACUCAGCAAUCCCAUUACCAUGGGUAUCAAGACUAGCAAAGCUUAAAGGGAAAGGAAGGGGUAAAGUGGUGAGGCUGCAGCAGUGACUAAGCAUAUAUUGUGGCUAAACAUACGCAAAUAAGAGCGAGAAGAGAACAAGCAGAACGGUCGUGAAACUAGCAAUGAUCAAGAAGUGAUCCUGAACUCCUACUUACGUCAAACAUAACACAGAAACCGUGUUCACUUCCCGGACUCCGCCGAGAAGAGACCAUCACGGCUACACACGUGGUUGAUGCGUUUUAAUUCGGAUUAGGUGUCAAGUUGUCUACAACCGGACAUUAACAAAUUCCCAUCUGCCUAUAACCGCAGGCACGGCUGUCAAAAGAUUAUACCCUGCAGGGGUGUCCCAACUUAGCCCAUGACAAGCUCUCGCGAUCAACGAAGGAAUAGACCUUCUCCCAGGAAGACCCGAUCAGACUCGGAAUCCCGGUUUACAAGACAUUUCGACAAUGGUAAAACAAGACCAGCAAGACCGCCCGAUGCGCCGACAUCCCGAUAGGAGCUACACAUAUCUCGUUCUCAGGGAAACACCGGAUGAGCAGUCCGUACAACUAAAACCAGACCUCAAGUUUCCCUGAGGUGGCGCUGCAAAGGGCUCUAGUUCGGACCAACACUUAGACAAGCACUGGCCCGGGGGGGCUGUAAUAAAGAUGACCCUUGGGUUAAUUACUCCCAAGGGAAAUAUAGGUGGUGGUGAGGCAAAUGGUAAAACCAACGUUGGGCCUUGCUGGAGGAGUUUUAUUCAAAGCGAACUGUCAAGGGGGUCCCAUAAAUCACCCGACCGCGUAAGGAACGCAAAAUCCGGGAACAUAACACCGGUAUGACGGAAACUAGGGCGGCAAGAGUGGAACAAAACACUAGGCAAAAGGCCGAGCCUUCCACCCUUUACCAAAUAUAUAGAUGCAUUAAUAAUAAUAUAAGAGAUAUUGUGAUAUCCCAACCAAAAUCCUGUCCACCAUGGAGAAAUCUUCAACUUCACCUACAACUAGCAACGCUAUAAGAGGGCUGAGCAAGCGGUAACAUAGCCAAUCAAUGGUUUGCAUAGGAAAGGUGUCAAAGGUUAGAGGUUCAUGGCAAUUUGGGAUCGCUUGAUAAACAGGUAAUAGGUAGCGCAGCAAAGCGAUAGAACGAAGCAACUAGCAUGGCAAUGGUAGUAGUGAGAUCCAGGGUAGCGGUCAUCUUGCCUGAAAUCCUGCAAGGAAGAAGAACGAGUCCAUGAAGAAGACAAACGGGAGCAGUCGAAUGAAUCCUCACGAACGCAACGUUACCGGAACUAAGAAGCAACACCAGAAAGAAACAAACAACAUGGUAAAUACACAAGCAUAAUCAUGGCAUGAUGCACAAUCAAGUAUGAUGCAUGUCCGGUUUAAAGAGCAUGGCAUGACAAAGUGCAACAAACGAUACUACAAGUUAAGUGGAGCUCAAUAUGCAACGAGUUGCAUAUUGACAAAACACCACAUCGAUUAUUUAGUUCUCUCUCGGUUUUGCUAUCAAACAAUAUUAAAUGUUAUUAGCAUGGCAAGGGGGUGAAACAUAAUGAAACUACCUAUCUAGGCAAGUUUAAAUGAGGCCGGAAACAACAAACAACAUGUCCGGAAAAAUCCCCAUAUGCAUAUUUUAGAUUCAGUACUGUUCUGCCCUAAACACAAUUUUAAGUUUGUUAAACAGGAAAAUAAAGUGGACCAUGUUAAUCUAGGCAUUUUUCCACCCCAUUUACAUAUAAAGUUUAUUAAAUUCGGAGCUACGGUUAUUAAGUUAUGAAUUAAAGCAUUUUAGCAUGGCAUUUAUACAAAAUUAAAUAAACAGCAAGUUUAAACAUUUUUAACAUAGAUGAAAGUGGCAUAUUAUUAAUCUACACAAUUUUCUGAGCAUUUUACAUAUUUAAAACAUUUUAAUCCGAUGCACAGUUUGAGAGAUAUUAUAUGCAUGAAGCUUAGGGGGUUUUCUGCAAAUCUGAAAAUCCUGGAAUAAUUAGACAAAUUCGCAGGCAGGAAAAAAAAUGCUAUCGGGCCGAAACUGCCGGCUAGCCCAACAGGAGAGAAAAAAAAGGAGGGGCGAUCUGGAGGGGUUGCUCACCCAUGGGCCUUAGCAGGCCGGCUGGAGGGGAGGAGGCUGGGCAGGCCGCGAAGGGGCGCGCUGGGUCUGGGCGAUCUGGCGCUGGGCCGCCCGGUCGCUGGCGCUCCAGACGAAGAGGGCCGUGGUCAACGCUCGAAGCAGAGGCAGGGGCGUCCUCCUCCUGCUCGAUGCAGAAACAGAGGAAGAAGGCGCGGCGGCGCAGGAACUUGGCGGAUGGAGGCGAGCGGCGCUGGGCGUCAGGAGGUGCGGGGAAGGCCGGGAUGGGAAGGAGCCGGCGGAUCCGAGGCGAAGGUCACCGGAUUCAGCAAGGAACGGCGAGCUUCGACUUGCGGGCGCCAUGGCUGACGAGAGAAGUUCCUGCGAGAGAGAGAGAGGGAUGCGAGAUCAGGAGAAAGAAGGAAGAGAAGGAGGGACCGAGGGAGAGGGCGCGGGGUCGGCCUGGGAGUGGCGGAGGGCAUCGGCGGCGGUGGAGGCGAUGAGGGCUCGGGGUCGAGGGAUCCUCCCCUCAAUCCAGAACGGGAGCGGGAGGCACUGGGCGCUCGGGCCCAGAUCGGGGCCCGGGCGGGCCUAGGACGGGCGUGCGGCGGCGGGAGGCUGCUGGGGAAGGCGGGGGCGACGUGGCGGCCUUUGAGUGGGCACGAGCGGCGCUGAGUGGCGGCGCUGGGUGGUGGCUGGCGGCGGGGGCAGCGCCAAGUGGCGGGCAGGAGGUGGCCAGGCACGGAAAAUGAGGCGCCGGCAGUUGGGAGGUUAGGGGAGGAAGCUAGGGAUAGGUUUAGCCCAAAAUGGCAAGGGGAGGGGUUUAUAUUGCAGUUUUUGGCUAGGGUUUGGUCUAGGGGGGUUUCUGCUCCGUUUUCGGACAUCGGAUCUCGAUCCAACGGUCCGGAGCGGAGGGGGUUAGAUAGGUGGGCUAGUGGGCUGUGACGAGAGGGUCUGGACUGAGGGGAGAGAAGAGAAAAAGAGGCCCGGCGGCAGUUUCGGAGACCGAAACGUCCGACGAAUAAACCGACUAUAUCGCGGUUACAUAUUUAACGGUUGGGCUGUCAAACGAACUCCGAAUGCGACGAAACUUGGCAGGCGGUCUGUCUACACUAUCAUAAGACCGCACGACAAGUUGCACCCAUUCCGAGAACAUUUUUAUGCCACUAACAAAAUAAUAUUUCGGAGGUGCCGCGGGCGCGUGCGAGUGUGGUCGGGCUCAGAACGGACAACGGAGAGAACCGGCGGAACACGAACGGAUGCAAGUUUUGAAAAACAUGCGGAUGAAAUGCAGAUGAUGACAUGAGAUGAGAUGCAUAACAAGAACAAAAUGCAAAACAACAGACAAAAACCCAACCACGGAGGAAAUAAUAAAUCACAUCUCCGGAAAAGGCAAGAGUCGGAGUUACGAAUAUGGAAAGUUGUAUCCGGGGCGUUACAACACUCCACCACUACGAGAGGAUCUCGUCCCGAGAUCUAGGAUGGCACCGGAGGGAAAAGGAAGAGGAAGAUAAGCGGUAAAACUAAGUUGCUUCUUUGACGAAUGAGUGAAACCAUGAACCUUGAGAGGUUGAGAAAUAUGAAAGAAAGAAAACAACGAAGAUGAACAAGAUUGCAAACAAUAUGUUAGAAAAGAGGAACAAGGAACAUUACGAGAACUUGAAGGUUGCAAAGACAUGAAUGACGAGCACAAUGGACAAGAAGGAAUUGAAACCACUCUGGUUGAAACGAGAUAAGAAAGAAUAAGAAUGAUAUAAUUUUGACAGCACUCCGACUGUAAAUGGAAGGAAUUGAACAUGAACUUGAGAAGAUGGGAUGAUACUUGAUGAAAUCAACAACACACUGCCUCCGGAACUAUUGAAAAAAUGGCACAAGGGGUAAGAAGGAUUUCAGACAGCACUCCGGUUGAGAAGGGGGGCAAAACUUGAUAAGAUGAAAGAACUUGAAUGAGAAUACAACACUCCAGUUAAAUGGAUAAGCAUGAAAAGAACACGAUCCUCAAUUCGAGAAGAUGAGUGAAGAGAGCAACAUUACAAUGCCUCCGGAAGAAAGAAUAGAAGAUAGAUCAUUGGAAUAAUAGAUGGAGGAGAAAAUGCCAACUUGUGCCACAAAUGAACUUGGAAAGCAAACUUGCAAAGAAGGAUUGAACGGAGUUGUUGGAAAAUCAACAACGAAAAGAAUAGGCUUGUAGUGGGCUUAUGGAAACAUCUCAACAUUAUGAGGUGACAACCGACCACUAAAGGAAACAAUUGCUUGUUUGAGAUCAACGAAGAGAUGAAAACCUCUUUCACCGAGAAGGAUAUGGAGAAAGCUUGGAUCAAUGAUAAGCACCACAAAUAGCAACAUUCCCAAUGGAAGGCUUUAGGUGAAAUCUAUACCAGGAUAACUCCAAAGAAGAAGUUGAUUGGACUUAAAAUACCUCAUUCUUGACAACAAUAUGAAUCAUGAAACAUGAAGGAAAUUGUCAAGAGUGACAUAACACCACCACAAAAGAUAAGGUAGAAAGAAUUGCACUUCAGAAUGCAAGAUGAAGAAUGCUUGAACGCCUCAAAACAAAACAUGUGUUGAGCACCAUGUUUAUUUUAGAGUAAAGCUUGGCGGAUCUUAACUUCGAGAGAAAUCUUGAAGAACAAAAUGAGAAUGAAAGAAAUCCUUGAUGAACCAUCAUGUAGAGCCUCCAUGAAGAACUCCGGUAAUGAAAGGAUGAUAGAAAGAAAGAGAAGUUGAAAGAACAAGGUGAGCCUUGUGAUGAUUUAGAUGGAGCUUUGCGAUGAUAUAACCGAGAAAACUUGGAACUCCGGAAACGAAAAGAUGAAACAUCUCGAACCGAGAAUUACUUCAUCAUGAACAAUCUCUGGAAGAAAAGAAUUGAAUCACCUCGAGGAAAUAAGAAUAAGAUUUAUUGUAUGCUUAUCCUUCAUCAAAUUAAAUUGACGACAAGCAAUGGAUUUGGCAUACUACUUAUUCUCGUAUAAAGAAUUAAGAUAGAUAUGGCGCAAACUUGGGAAGGUAUUGAUGGAACCACCGGUUGGAUUUGUUAACAAUGAAUGAAUUGAUAUGAUAACGAAGGAAGAGAAAUCUUGAAGGAACCACCGUAAGAAUUUAAAAUGAAAGUAACAAAGGCACAAUUCACCGGGAAGAAUUGGAAAACGAAUGAAGAUACUUGAAGGGAUUUAGAUACAUGAGAAAGAAGAGAACAUGAACUGAUUAGAGGAUACUUGAACAAUUCACCGGUAAGAUUUGGAUAACGAGAGCUGAAGGUUGAGAAUGAGGAAUUAUGACAUGAUGGCCUUCGGAGGAAAGAAAUGGAAACAACUCAUGAAAUGCUCCGGAUGGGUGAAAAGAAUUCUCACAAUCAAAAACAAUUAUGAGAGGAUGGCAUCAAGCUAGAACCAUGAAUCUUCGGAAGAACGGACAAGAUUUAGAGGAAAAACUCUUCCUCGGUCUUCACAUGUUGAGAAUGAUGAUGAGAACCGCCACCAAAAUUACUGAGAUACUUCGGUAGAAUGGAAAGCGAAGGGGUUGAGCCGAUCAAUGAAAUGAUUUGAAAUCGAUCUUGGAAAAGCAUCUGACUGAUGAAAUUCAUUCUUACGUCAACUUGAAAAUAAUUUGGGAAUAGCUCCAGAAUAAUUAGAAGAGUCAGGUAAGAUCCUGGGAAAAGACCUGUGGGUUAGGGCCCAUUCAAAAGGAAACACCGUUGAACGAUUUUAAAGAGAGAUUGCACCGUUAGAAUUAAAUAGCUUGAAUGAUAUAAUAAUCUCCAAAAUAACUUGAACGGAUUGAGAAUGGAAACACAAGUCUUCUGAGAUAUCUUGAGCACUCCGGAUAAGAAUAGAGAGAGGUGAACAAUUAAGAGGUGCACCAUGUGGAAAAACAUUUGAAACGAGGAAAGGGAUAUGAUCAACACCGAAAGCUUGAAUUAACACCACCGGAGAGGAAUACGAGAAUGAAGAUUGAUGAACUUGAAGCUCAUGAGCAUCUUCACGAGGGAUCACCGGAUGAAAACAUUGAUUGAAAAGAGUGAAGAGACUUCACAUGAAUAAAUGGAUACUUGAUUAACAUAUAUGAGUCCUUGAAGAAAAGGGUGGGAGGGUGGGGAAAUCAAAGACAACUUGGGAUGGAUGAAACAAACACCGUUGAGAAAACUUAGAAUUGAUCUUGCGGAUGGGGAGAAUGAUGGGAUCAUCUCGAAGAGAAGCGCACCGGUUGGAAAAGAAUUAACAUGACAACCUCAAUGAUCAAAAGGAUUAGUAUUCACAUAGGAAUAUGAGAACACAGUUUAUGAAAGGUAUGGAUUCAACAUUUGACAAUGAAGCAACUCGAAUACCACAACUCAAAACAAAACAAAGGAUUUGGCUUGCAGAAUAAGCCGAAACAAACAUAUGAUAGACCCCAUAUCGUAUCAAGUGUCUGUUGGAAAGAUAAAACUAGAGCUACUUGAAUUCCCACCUAUAAACUCCCGAAACUUUCUGGUUAUGCAAUCUGGUGUUGGGGAUACAGGGGAAGCAAUAUAUCUCACCCAAACUAACAAUCCCUACAUCCAGCUGUAUCCAUCCGUCAACACAUAACCAAGAAACCUUCGGAAAUCGUGUACCUCAACCUUCGAAAAGCAUUCGUUAUAUGAGUUAUGGCAAUACUGCCGAACUCCCCAGUACUGGGUGACGUCGAGGUUAUCUCACCAACAACUGCAUAAAAGAGAUUUUUGAUGUCGGCAAAACUUAGGUAUUCCAGAACUGCAACAAUAAAAUUAUGACGACAACACCUUGGAGCUCAACUCCCCGGGUCAAAGCCACAUAAAUAGACAGGAGGCACCAAGAACAAUGUUCUUGUCACAAAACCAUCGGAACGAUUCCGAGAUACCCGCGUGAUCCUAAAAAUUUUUUAGUCAAAUUUGAGGAGAGGAAAGUCAAAACAUCUACCUCAAGAGUCCUCACCAGAGCGACGAAGGGGCUGAGGAGUAAAAAGAAUCCUACUCUCUAAUAUAUAUAAUCCUAAGACUCAAAAUAGUUUUCUUCUAGACUCAACAACGGCCAACAAUCAAGGGGGCUCCUAAGGUCGGUCGAGGCUCUGAUACCAACUUGUCACGCCCAAUAUGCGACCCUAUCCAAAAGGAACUCGAAGGUCCCACCAAGGAUAGACCCGCAUAUUGAAACGCUUUUGCAAGGUGGAUAUCAUUACAUCAACAUUACAUAAUAGAUGGAGAUACAUACAUAAGGCAUACAAUGCCACAUGAAUACAACAUCACAAUACAUCAGAGCAUCAUCCGACUACGGAUGAAACACAAACAGAAACUCAAACGACAUCCACCCUGCUAGCCCAGGCUGCCGACCUGGAACCUAUCCCCUGAUCGAAGAAGAAGCAGAA
rnacentral:lncRNA from 1 species